UUGAUCGAAUGAUCAACCGAUUGAAUUUGUUUCAGGUAGUAUUUAGUUCAAACUCAGAAUGUAUCGAUUGCAUGGUGGAUAGGUUCUUUUAGACUAAUUGUAGUUUUCAAUCAAUUGAACUUGUUGGACCUACGUAAUUGCCUGUAUUAUAGUACUGACAUGUUUUUAUGUAUGAUCUCAAUGAAGGCCACUAGGGUUCGGGAAAUGCCAUAGUACAGUUGUGACCUUGUGGUAGGCAGCAUUCGAUUUGUCCUGGUUUUUUUGCUUAUUUACAUUUUGAAAGUUGUAGCUUUAUAUUUGAUAUUAUUUCACCAUCUUCCCUUUUUUUUUUUUUUACUGCUGUGUUUAGUUUUUAAUCUUCAUCUCUAUUUCUCUUUUCUAUCAUUUGUUCUGAAAAUUCAUGGAGCUUUCUUACUUGAAAUAUUAGGUGAGGAUUAGAAUUCCUUUACAAUUCAUUUAUAAAUGGGUUAUUCUAUUUAUACUGAUAUAGUGGAGGAGCGCAUUAAAUCCUUGUUUGUCUAUUAAUACUCAGUUCUAGUCUUCAGCGCAGGGCAGAGCAGUUUGGUAGCUCGCAAGGCUUGUAACCUUGAGGUCAUGGGUUCAAAUCCCGUCUCUGCAGUAGUAUUUUAUUUUUAAUUUUUUGUUUCAGCUUUUGUUAAUGAGUUUUUGUUGUUUGCUGGUUUCAUGGCUGGACUCCUAUGUAGAGAAGGUAUUGGCAUUUUAGGUUUUGUUGUUUCCAGUUUUUGUGACUGGUGGAAAAUAUGUACAGAAUCUCUAGUAGCUAGACUGAUAUUUUGGUUGGCUUCUAAAAAAUUAAUAUUUUGUUCUCCGCAGCUAUAUCUUGCGAAGUGUAGAAUGGUCCUUGAUAGGUCUGCAGUUUUGUUUCUUGUAGGUUUUGCCAGUUGUUCACAUUACAUGAUCUGAACACUUGUAAGAGAAACAGUGGGAUCAUUCUUAAAACUCUUUAAGAGUGCCUGUUGUCCAGCUGGACAUGAACCCUUGAAUUUUUAUUUUUAUUUUUAUUUAUUUAUUAUUUAUUCUUAUUUUUUUUCCUUGGAAGUAAUUACGUUCUUAUCUUUAAUUUCUGAGAAACAAAUUUUAUGGAUUUUCUGCUUUGUAGAUUUUCAUGCGAAGGCUUUGCUGUGGUACAGAACUUAUGAAUGGUUGAGCUUUCAAGGGCUUCUUGCUAAGGCUCUCCUCUGCUCUGUGCUUUCUUUCUUUCCUUUCUUUUUCUUUUUUGUUUUUUCCCCUCAAUUCUUCACUUACACGUCUCUUUCAUGAGGGUAUCCUGUGUUUUGUAUUAUCUUCCUUAUCAAUGAUUUUUAUAUUUGUUGCUAUCAAAUUUAGUUGAACUUGAUUUUGUAUAAUAACAGUGGGUGGAUUUUAUGUAGGAUCUUAAUAAAGACUAAAGUAAAUGUCAAAGUGUAGUCGGGUCCUUGUGGCAGGCUGCAUUUGAUUGGUCUUGGUAAGUGCUUAUUUACAUUUUGAAAGUUGUGUAACAGUAUCUUUGGUAUUAUCUCCCCUUCUACUAAAUUUUUACUGCUCUGUUUAAAUCUUUCUUCAUCUCUCUCACCUUUUCUGCCUUUUGUUCUGAAAAUUGAUGGAUCCAUCUUAUUACUUGAAAUAUUAGGUGAGGAUCGGAACCCUUUUACUGUGUUCUCUAUAAAUGGGCUAUUCUAUUUGUACAGAAUCUACAGAUAUAGUGGAGGGGCGCAUUAAAUCCUUGUUUGCAUCUUAGUUCUCACUUUUCUUCAGUGUAGGGCAGAGAGCAGUUUGGUAGCUUGCAAGGCUCAUUACCUUGAGGUCACGGUUUCAAAUCCCGUCUCUGUAACAUUCUUUUAUGCUUGGUUUUUGUUUUGUAGCAUGUGUGAAUGAGUUCCUUUUGCUGGUUGGUCGUUACUUUUUUGCUUGUUUGCAAUCUAUUACUUGAAGAUGGAAUUGGUGAAAGUUAAAAGAGCCUUUUUCGUGGCUGGACUUCUUCUGUUAUUGGACUGUAUCCUGCCAUUAUUUGAAAGCAGAAGAGAUAAUCUAAUUCUUUGUUUUUGUUUUUUGUUCUAUUUUCUUUGUUUUUGCUUUAACUCUCUCUUUGGUGUUUACCGACACUUGUUGUUUUGCUUGUUUGUAGUCGAUUUGCUUGGACCUGACCUUAAGGUGGAUUUCGAGCAUGGUCUUUUGGAAUAGCUAAGAGAAUCUCUACCUGGUUAGAUUGCAGGAAAUGAUCAAUCUUUUACUCUCUAAUUUUUAUAAGCCUGAUGUGAAUGAGAUCUUUUACUCUUUAAUUUUUACAAGUCUGAUGUGAAUGAUAUAUAGCUACUGCUGUUAUAGCACUUUUGCUUGUAAUUUUCUGUUAGGAUAUAUAGCUGUUGUUGGUACUUUCUUUUCUGUCUUUCUGCUUCUGUUAGAUUGUUACGAUACAGGAUGUAGGAACACAUAGGUGAGGUUUCUAAUUUUUCUCCUUUGCGGCUGCUUACAAGCUAUUUGUUCUUUCCUUUCCACCUUGUUUCCAAACAAAAUUGUUCAGUGUUGGUGGAUGCACUCUAAACCUUGGUAUCUUAUGUUUUGUAUUAUCUUCCUUACCGAUGAUUUUCUUAUUUGUUACUAAUGAAUUUUGGUGAACUUGAUUCUGGAUAGGCAUAUGGUCAUUACAUUUGGAGAGCAAAACCUCCUUUUUGUUUCUGUGGUUUAUUGCUUGUGGACUUGUUGUUUGUGCAUUGCCUUGUAUUAUUUACCAUCACAACUAACUGCAUACUUUUGUAAGGGAGCAUAUCUUCCCCCCAACAAAAAAAAUAAAAAUAAUAAUAAUAAUAAGGAUGCAUUUCCUAUUCAGACUGAACUUGACUCUUGGACAAUCGACUUCCAUUCUGGAUUUUGUCAUCAAUGUAAUUACGCCAUCUCAGCUGAUGAGUUUUCUGAGCGAGCGUGCGUGCGUGUGUGUGUGUAUAUAUAUAUAUUUGUUUUUGUUCUUGUUAUCUUUCUAGUGUUUGGUGGCAGCAAUUAUCUGUUUGCGGUUAUUUUUUUCCCUUUUGUGGACUGCGCCUAGCACUUUUCUUCGUGAUUUGCCGUCAUUAAACGCAUUCACCAACUAAUAUCAGCACCAACGGAUGCACUUCUACAUAGUUACAACACAGCAUUUUGUUUUACUUUGUUGGAUAUUUCUUUAUGCCCAAAUUUUUAGAUUCCAUUUUUUUUCUUCCUGUUUUACACUCUAGGAGAACCGAACAUUUCAAAAUUGGAUGGACAUAAGUACUCAAUUCUGCUUUGCCGUGUCUCAAUGUGUUUUUUUUCUUGGUAGGGAUUUUAUGCAUUAUCUUCGAGAUUUAAUGAACUUCUAAUCAUCAUAUAUGUGCAUUUCCUUCAAAUGAUUGUCUUAAUCUAUUUUGUAAGACACAUAUUGUUGAUAUCUUAUUUUGAGAUAUGAUGUUUUGUCAUUGACCGGGAUGACGUCUUACAUUUUUGCAUAUUCAAUCUUAUACUUGGAUAAUUGUAAGCAUCUUUUUUAAUUAGAUUCUUAGUCAGAGGUUACUUGCAUUGCUUUGAAUUCCAUGAGUAGGUUGGAACGUCUUGGUUAAUCCAAAUUUUCUGUAUGAACAACUUAUUUUAUUAAGGUUUUAACUGAGUUGAAUGUGUAUCUUUAUAUUUCUGUUUCUUUUGUGGCAUUAUGAGUGACCGUCACAAUUUGUACUGAGGUUAGACAUUAGUGCUGAACUGAAAUUUCUUGAGCACCUGAUGCAACGUAGAUUGAACUGCAAAUACACAUCUCUUUUUAAUACCGAUUCUUGGUGAUAUGGUUCUUUGUUCUUUACUCGUUGCAGUGAACGUAUGGGAGGAUAUACUGUAAUUCACUGAUUGAGCACCCGCAUCUGGAACAACGAACCGUUAUUUAUCUAUGAUGUCUAUCGUGCGAACCCGUGAUACAAUUGUUCUAGUUUAUAUGUGCAUUCUGUUUAUUUGUUUAUGUUAGUUUUUAUGUGCGAUAUAUUUAUUUGUGUUUUUUUAUAUGGAUUUUGGAGAGUACGAGGAGAGCAUUCUAUCUUGUUUCCGCCGCCUUUUCCAUUGGCUAAUGUGUAAUGCAAUUAGCAGUAACACUUACUAUGUUGCUGAGAUUGUAUUUAGAAUUAAAAGAAAAUGGGUAUAUAAAUACUAGUUUUGUUCAUUGCCCUCUCUUUGUUUCUGUGCAAUCUUGGUAUUUUUGUCUGCUUGUUGGGUUACCUUGUAGGGAUCAUACGAAAUUUCUUGACAGUUGGAUAAUGCUAGAUUCCGUCUAGCGAUGCAUCAGUUCAGGCUGUUAACUUUCUACUCCUUUUCUGUGCACACACUAAUAAUCUAUUGGGAAAGUAUUGCUUGUAUUGUUCGGGGUGAAUUGCUUGUUGGAUGAGACGAUUGGUGAUUAUGGUUCCAGAAGAUAGUGUUUCCAAUUUGUAUUAUAGAAGAUGUGUUGAUAAGUAGUUAAGAGUUAAGACCAAAGAACCAUCGCUAUUUAUAGGAUUAUAUCCCAUGUCUCCUAUUUGGCUUUCAAUUUGCAUUUGUCUAUGGACACCAUCUUUUACCUGAAAUUUGUCUUUUCUUGUUAACGUACCUUUUGAAGUGAUGUAGAGUCUCCUGCUCUCUCAGUUAAAGUGAAUGACAGUGUGCUGAUGGAUGUCAGGGUUCUGCACACCACGUCUUCUGUUUAUAUAUUAUACUAGUAUUAAGUAAGCAAAAUUACAGUAAUGUCCUUAACAAGCAAAAAUGAACUCUUAACAACUAACACUCUCUUGUUUUUCCCUUUUGGUGUUUGAGUAAGACUGAAAAUUCACUUUUGUGUAAAUGAAAUUAUUGGUACCGUUUUUAGUGAUUCUAUCUCGUUCACAUGUUUUUUUUCUUCUUUCUUGUUACUUACCUUUUAAGUGUUUGCAGAGUCUUCUGCUAUCCCCUUGUUCCUUUUGGUGGUCGUGUUAAAUUGAAAACUCAUCAUUGUCUAAAUGAGGUUAUUGGUACCAUUUUUAAUGAUACUCUCUUCACUAUUGAAUCGAAAGAUGAAAUGAGGAUGUUGUCAUGCCUUCAUGUGAGGCUGCUGAUUUUACUUGCGUUUUCUUGUUGCUAGUUCUCAUUUAUUCUUUUCAUGCAAGGUUUCUUUCAAAUCUUUACUCUUGUCAUUUCAUCCAUUACAAGGAAAUUGACAUAUUAAAGGCAAGGUUCCGUUGCAUGAAUGCUGCUUGAUCCUCACUUACUAUGAUUGAGGUUCUUAUAACAUAUGGAUAUGUACACACUCACACUCUUGGGGAAUGUGCGUCGGCAGCCUGUUUAGAGAGUUCUCUGCUUUCUCGUUGCAACAUGUUGAAGCUAUAUUUAGCAGCAUGUGCUUGGGGACUUGAUUGCAGUUAUUUAACCUGUUCUAGUAAAUUCCGCUUCUGUAUCCUGAUGCCUGGAUGGAUUCUUGUUUCUUAGGGACCUCAUGGUAUAUUUCAAGAUCUAAGUGAUUGAAUGUAUAUGGUGCUGUUAUGACACACACGUGAGUGUGUCCUGCUGUCAAGAGUGAGGUUAGAUUAUUAUUGUGGAAUUAGAAAUUUGAAUUUGUUGUAUCUAUCUAAUAAAAAUUUGUAGGAACGGUAGUGUUGUGGUAUUUUCUUUGUGAAGGGGUCUGCUGCUUGAUUCCCCAUCUCCGUUUUCUCCUCCCUUAAUGUUGUAGAAAACGUCCAUUCCAUUGUUUUUUUGGUAAUACGUCCUUCCUUUUCCCAGAUA